rnacentral:lncRNA from 1 species
UCAAAACUGGCUUCAAGCCAAGAUUUGACACAUGUUUACAUUUAGUUUUUCUAGCUCUUUUGUAGACUCAAAGUCAUUCUGCAAUGGAAGUCAAAUACAAAGUAAAUGCAUAUCGACCUUAAUAUGUACACCUUUCACGCUCUCUUCUACUGUAGAGAAGCAGAAGUCUCUGAGCGUGUCCGGGAUCAUUCUGCCUCCCCACGUGGUGGUUGGACAGAAGGGCCGUGUGACUGUUAGCAUUGAGGGACGCAGAGUCGACCGAGUCGAAACCAGCUGGUUCCUCAAUGACACACCCAUCGCCGACACCUCACGCAAAGUAUCAGAGAAAGGACCUCUGCUUCCCUCCAGAGGACAGACUGAGUACUACAAGCUGCACAACCAGGGCCCCUUGCACUCCACUGGAAACCGGCAGCAGCUGGUGUCAUCGCUCACCUUCGUCCCGCAGAUCUCCGUCCAUAAGGGGGCGGUGUUCAAAUGCCAGGUGUCCUACAUGGGCAAGGACAAGGUGGUGGUCGAGAGAGUUUCCGAAAGGUUCACUGUCCUGGCUGCUCCAGAAGUGUCCGAGAUACAGCUAGCGGAGGUAUCUGAGGACUCAGACACCAUCACCUUGACGGUGCACGCGUCCCACUUCCACCCGGACAUCAUCACGUUCCGCUGGUUCUGCGAGGGCAGCGAGCUGAGCCCUGUGGCCUCGCAGGCCUCGUCCUCGCCGCGGCCCGACCCCCAGGGCUUCUUCACCGCCUCCAGUCAGUGCCGCCUCCCCCGCAGCGAGCUGGAGCGAGGGAACACCAAGGUCUGGGUGACAGUGCACCACGUGGCCCUCCGACUACCGGUCACCCGCGAGACCAGAGGCUUCAUCAGGACGCCGUGCGUGGCGGAGAUUGUGAGCUCCGCCUCCAUGCCAGGGGAACCCCCGACCCUGGGCUGUGACAUCACAGGGUUCUACCCCCCCGACCUCACGGUGACCUGGCUCCGCCUGAGGGAGGGCGAGCAGGACGACCGGGAGGAGGAGGUGGUGGAGGGAGGUGAGCUGUGGGGGCCCGUCCAGACUCAGGCCCGACUGUACCGCGCCACGGCCAUACUGCACCCCACCAGGAGGAGGGACGAGGCCAAGGAGAGAGCAGGAGGAGAAAGGGGAGGCGGGGGAGCGGUCUGUCGGGUGGAGCACCGCUCCCUGGAUCAUCCCAUCGAGAGACGAUGGAGGAACGCCCAGCUCACCCCUCCCUCCAUCCCCCUCUCCAUGUCAGUGUGCUGGAGCACCGAGGGCGUGGGGGUCUUCUCCCUGCUGCUGCGGGGUGGUCAGCCGCGGGCGCGCCUGCUCUGGACAGCCGGGGCCGCCACCCUCUCGCCCCUGACCUCCAGCGAGACGGAGGAGAUGGGGGACGACGGGCGUCGGGAGCUGCGGAGCGUGUGUGCCCUGCAGCGGGCCGGCCCCGGAGGGGAGGCGCCAGGGACACGGCCGAGUGGAGGACGUGCUCUGAGCAGAGGCGGUAAGGCGGCGGUGAGCCCUGGCGACACAGAGGACAUUGAGUACAUGGACCAGAAGGUGGACGGAGAGAACAACAACAAUGUGGAGAGCUGGGCAGGGACCAAGACGCUGUCCGAAGAGGAGAGCCAUGGGGAGGAUGAGGAGAGCGAUGAGGAAGAGGUUGGGCCCGGGGGCCUGCACAUAAACCGGGUGGACGUGAGGACGCCCGCCCGCCAAGUUAGGAGGGGUCUGCGGGUAUGUGUGGAGAUCUCACACCCGGCCCUCGCUCUGCCUGUCUACAGAACAUGGACAGAGUCAAUACAGGAGGAGUCAUCUUCCAUUUGACCAAUCGGAUACCUGAAACAGGGAUGUUUUUUUUUAUAACCUACUGUAUGUAAUGAUAAUGAAGAUAUCACACUGUAGCUGGUCCAUAUUUCCCUCUCUUUCCAUAGGUUAUUUAUUUAUUUGUAUUAUUAAUCCACUGUCUUUGAUAUCAAUAGUUUUUAGUCUGUAUUUUUAUUUUAUUUUUUAGAAUAGUAGUAAUAGUAAUAAUAGUAAUCCUAUUGUUUCGUUAUACGUGUGUGUGUGUGUGUGUGUGUGUGUGUGUGUGUGUGUGUGUGUGUGUGUGUGUGUGUGUGUGUGUGUGUGUGUGUGUGUGUGUGUGUGUGUGUGUGUGUGUGUGUGUGGACAGAGAGAGAUUUUAUAAUGUUCAGACUCAUAAUCUAAAGAUACAUGUCCUAGUUUUAUGUGGAAUCCGUUCGGUUUGGGUUUAGUGUAAAAAUAUUUUUUUUUUACAGAGUUUCUGAUUAAUAAAAGCAACUGACGGUACGCAGGGUCUGGAAAGUCUGUGAAUUAAUGCCAC